ensembl:lncRNA
CAGUGAUGACCUUCCAGGACCCUUCCAAUAAAACCCAUUCAGUGAUGACCUUCCAGGACCUUUCCAACCCCAUCCAUUCAGUGAUGACCUUCCAGGACCCUUCCAACCAUGUCCAUUUAGUGAUGACCUUCCAGGACCUUUCCAAUCCCAUCCAUUCAGUGAUGACCUUCCAGGACCCUUCCAGUCCAACCCGUUCAGUGAUGACCUUCCAGGACCCUUCCAAUCCAACCCACUCUACAACGACCUUCCAGGACCUUUCCAAUCCAACCCACUCAGUGAUGACCUUCCAGGACCUUUCCAAUCCCAUCCAUUCAGUGAUGACCUUCCAGGACCCUUCCAGUCCAACCCGUUCAGUGAUGACCUUCCAGGACCCUUCCAGUCCAACCCACUCAGUGAUGACCUUCCAGGACCCUUCCAAUAAAACCCAUUCAGUGAUGACCUUCCAGGACCUUUCUAAUCAAACCCUCUCAGAAGUGACCUUCCAGGACCCUUCUAAUCCCACCCGCAUAGUGAUGACCUUCCAAGACCUUUCCAAUCCCAUCCAUUCAGUAAUGACCUUCCAGGACCCUUCUAAUUAAAUCUGUUCAGUAAUGACCUUCCAGGACCUUUCCAACCCCAUCCAUUCAGUACUGACCUUCCAGGACCCUUCCAGUCCAACCCGUUCAGUGAUGGCCUUCCAGGACCCUUCCAAUCCAACCCACUCCCAGAGACCUUCCAGGACCUUUCCAAUCCAACCCACUCAGAGAUGACCUUCCAGGACCUUUCCAAUCCCAUCCAUUCAGUGAUGACCUUCCAGGACCCUUCCAGUCCAACCCGUUUAGUGAUGACCUUCCAGGACCUUUCCAAUCCCAUCCACUCAGUGAUGACCUUCCAGGACCCUUCCAAUAAAACCCAUUCAGUGAUGACCUUCCAGGACCCUUCCAGCCCCACCACCCCGUAUUGCUGUGACCUUCCAGGACCCUUCCGCCCCAACCACCCCACAUCUCUGUGACCUUCCAGGACCCUUCCGCCCCAAUCACUCCGUAUUGCUGUGACCUUCCAGGACCCUUCUAUCCAAACCACUCCAUAGCUCUGUGACCUUCCAGGACCCUUCCACAGCAACCAGUCCGUAUCUCUGUGACCUUCCAGGACCCUUCCACCUCAAACCUCCCCAUAUCCCUAUGGAGCUCUAUGGGGUCACUAUGGGGUUCUAUGGGGUCACUAUGGGGCUGUUAUGGGGUCACUAUGGGGUUCUAUGGGGUCACUGUGGAGCUCUAUGAGGUCGCUAUGGGGCUCUAUGGGGUCACCGUGGAGGUAUAUGGGGUCCCUAUUGAGCUCUAUAGGGUCGCUAUGGGGCUGUUAUGGGGUCCCUAUGGGGCUCUAUGAGGUCACUGUGGGGCUCUAUUAAGCUCUAUAGGGUCGCUAUGGGGCUGUUAUGGGGUCCCUAUGGGGCUCGAUGGGGUCACUAUGGGGCUGUUAUGAGGUCACUAUGGAGCUCUAUGGGGUCUCUGUGGGGCUUUUAUGGGGUCACUAUGGAGCUCUAUGGGGUCACUAUGGGGCUGUUAUGGGGUCACUGUGGAGCUCUAUGGGGUCACUAUGGAGCUCUUUGGGGUCCCUAUGGGGCUCUAUGGGGUCACUGUGGGGCUUUAUGGGGUCAUUGUGGAGCUCAAUGGGGUCGCUAUAGGGCUGUUAUGGGGUCCCUAGGGUGCUCUAUGGGGUCCCUAUGGGGCUCUAUGGGGUCACAAUGGGGCUCUAUGGGGUCCCUAUGGGCCCUAAUGGGGUCAUUAUGGGGCAGUUAUGGGGUCACUGUGGAGCUCUAUGGGGUCAUUACGGAGCUCUCUGGGGUCCCUAUGGGGCUCUAUGGGGUCACUGUGGGGAAGUUAUGGGGUCACUAUGGGACUCUAUGGGGACACUGUGGGGCUCUAUGGGGUCACUAAGGAGCUCUAUGGGGUCCCUAUGGGGCUGUUAUAGCGUCUCUAUGGAGCUCUAUGGGGUCACUAUGGGGCUCUAUGGGGUCACUAUGGGGCUCUAUGGGGUCCCUGUGGGGCUUUAUGGGGUCCCUAUGGAGCUCUAUUGGGUCCCUAUGGGGUUAUAGCGUCUCUAUGGAGCUCUAUGGGGUCACUAUGGGGCUUAAUGGGGACACUGUGGGGCUCUAUGGGGUCACUAUGGAGCUUUGUGGGGUCACUGUGGAGCUCUAUGGGGUCCCUAUGGAGCUCUAUGGGGUCACUAUGGGGCUCUAUGGGGUCACUAUGGAGUUACUUGGGGUACCUAUGGAGCUCUAUGGGGUCACUAUGGGGCUCUAUGGGGUCACUGUGGGGCUCGAUGGGAUCACUAUAGGGCUCUAUGGGGUCACUGUAGGGCUGUUAUUGGGUCCCUAUGGGGCUCUACGGGGUCCCUAUGGGCCCCAAUGAGGUCACUAUGGGGCUGUUAUGGGGUCACUGUGGAGCUCUCUGGGGUCCCUGUGGGGCUCUAAGGGGUCACUGUGGGGCUCUAUGGUGCCACUAUGGGGCUCGAUGGGGUCCCUAUGGGCCCCAAUGAGGUCAUUAUGGGACUGUUAUGGGGUCUCUAUGGAACUCUAUGGGGUCACCAUGGGGCUCUAUUUGUUCACUAUGGGGCUCUAUGGGGUCACUGUGUGGCUCUAUUGGGUCACUAUGGGCCCCAAUGAGGUCACAAUGGGGCUCUAUGGGGUCCCUAUGGGCCCUAAUGGGGUCAUUAUGGGGCAGUUAUGGGGUCACUGUGGGGCUCUAUGGGGUCACUAUGGGGCUGUAAUGGGGUCUCUAUGGAACUCUAUGGGGUCACUAUGGGGCAGUUCUGGUGUCACUAUGGGGCUCUAUGGGGUCACUGUGUGGCUCUAUUGGGUCACUGUGGGGCUCUAUGGGGUCACUAUGGGGCUCUAUGGGUCCCCUAUGGGGCUCUAUGGGGUCAUUGUGGGGCUCUAUGGGGUCACUCUGGGCUCUAUGGGGUCACUAUGGGGCUGUUAUGGGGUCACCGUGGAGCUCUAUGGGGUUACUAUGGAGGUAUAUGGGGUCCCUUUUGAGCUCUAUGGGGUCGCUAUGGGGCUGUUAUGGGGUCCCUAUGGGGCUCUACGGGGUCACUAUGGGGCUCUAUGGGGUCCCUAUGGGGCUCUACGGGGUCACUAUGCGGCUGUGAUUGGGUCAUUAUGGAGCUCUAUGGGGUCACUAUGGGGCUCUAUGGGGUCCCUAUGGGGCUCUAUGGGGACACUGUGGGGUUCUAUGGGGUCACCGUGGAGCUCUAUGGGGUCACUCUCGGGCUCUAUGGGGUCAUUACAGAACUCUCUGGGGUCCCUAUGGGGCUCUAUGGGGUCCCUAUGGGCACCAAUGAGGUCUCUAUGGGGCUGUUAUAGGGUCUCUAUGGAACCCUAUGGGGUCGCUAUGGGGCAGUUAUGGGGUCAUUAUGGAGCUCUUUGGGGUCCCUAUGGGGCUCUAUGGGGUCACUGUGGGGCUUUAUGGGUCAUUGUGGAGCUCAAUGGGGUCGCUAUGGGGCUGUUAUGGGGUCCCUAUGGGGCUCUUUGGGGUCCCUAUAGGGCUCUGUGGAGUCCCUAUGGGGCUCUAUGGGGUCACUGUGGGGCUCUAUGGGGUCACGAUGGAGCUCUAUGGGGUCCCUAUGGGGCUCUAUGGGGUCCCUAUGCGGCUCUAUGGGGACACUGUGGGGCUUUAUGGGGUCACUGUGGAGCUCUAUGGGGUCAUUACAGAGCUCUCUGGGGUCCCUAUGGGGCUCUAUGGGGUCACUAUGGGCCUCAAUGAGGUCACUAUGGGGCUGUUAUGGGGUCUCUAUGGAACCCUAUGGGCUCGCUAUGGGGCAGUUAUGGGGUCAUUAUGGAGCUCUUUGGGGUCCCUAUGGAGCUCUAUGGGGUCACCUUGGAGCUCUAUGGGGUCUCUAUGGAGCUCUAUGGGGUCCCUAUGGGGCUCUAUGGGGUCACUACGGGGCUCUAUGGGGUCACUGUGGGGCAGUUAUGGGGUCACUAUGGGACUCUAUGGGGUCACUAUGGGGCAGUUAUGGGUUCACUAUGGAGCUCUAUGGGGUCACUAUGGGGCAGUUAUGGGGUCACUAUGGGGCUCUAUGGGGUCACUGUGGGGCUCUAUGGGGUCACUGUGCAGCUCUAUUGGGCUGUUAUGGGGGCACCACUGUGUUCAGCUAUGGGGUCAGCGAUGGGAUCCCUUAUGGGGUCUCUUAUGGGGUCAGUAUGGGGUCAGCAAUGGGAUCCCUUAUGGGGUCUCUUAUGGGGUCGCUUAUGGGGUCAGUAUGGGGUCAGCAAUGGGAUCCCUUAUGGGGUCUCUUAUGGGGUCGCUUAUGGGGUCAGUAUGGGGUCAGCAAUGGGAUCCCUUCUGAGGUCACUUAUGGGGUCUCUUAUGGGGUCAGUAUGGGGUCAGCAAUGGGAUCCCUUAUGGGGAUCACUUAUAGGGCACUUAUGGGGUCAGCGUUGGGAUCCUUUAUGGGGUCACUUAUGGGGUCAGCGAUGGGAUGCCUUAUGGGGUCUCUUAUGAGGUCAGUAUGGGGUCAGCGAUGGGAUCCCUUAUGGGGUCACUUAUGGGGUCAGUUUGGGUCAGCAAUUGGAUCCCUUAUGGGGUUGCUUCUGGGGUCAGCGAUGGGAUUCCUUAUGGGGUCUCUUAUGGGGUCAGUAUGGGAUCCCUUCUGGGGUCACUUAUGGGGCACUUAUGGGGUCAGUGAUGGGAUCUCUAUGGGGUCACUUCUGGGGUCAGUGUGGGUCAGCGAUGGGAUGCCUUAUGGGGUCACUUAUAGGGUCUCUUAGGGGGUCAGCAAUUGGAUCCCUUAUGGGGUCGCUUCUGGGGUCAGCGAUGGGACUCCUUAUGGGGUCUCUUAUGGGGUCAGCGAUGGGAACCCUUAUGGGGUCUCUUAUGGGGUCAGUAUGGGGUCAGCAAUCGGAUCCCUUAUGGGGUCACUUAUGGGGUCAGUAUGGGGUCAGCAAUGGGAUCCCUUCUGCGGUCACUUAUGGGGCA